AGCCUUGGCUAGGCGCGCGCGCGCACGGGGUCGGGCGCUCCCGGGCGGCGGUGGCACCACGUAGCCGCCUCCUUCCACCGCUCGCUUUAUCCCCGCCCCUUCUCGGGCCAACCCCAAGCGCCGCUGACCCCGAACGUCGCUGCGGGGUAGGUAGGGGGUGGGAGGGUGGAGGACCGCAGGCGAGAGGGAGAAGGAAGGGCGCCCGGGGAGCAGGCUGGCAGAGUGACCGGGAUUGAUGAGCGGCGCAGCUCUGGAGGGACGCGGGCGAGAGGGUCGCUCCUCGGGGAGAGGGCUGGAUAGAUGGAAUGUACAGCCAGAGGAUUGGAUGAGGUCAUCGACGGAGAGAAUGCAGAGAGAAUCCUGGGGCUCACCAACAUGAAGAAUUUGGGACAAGAAAGAAGAUCCAGCAGAGAAGACUGAAAGAAGGCAACUAAUGAAAUAGGAGAGAACCUGGAGAGCACAGAGUCUUAGAGGCCAAGAAAGUGGUUUAAUAUAAUCCGUAUCAAAGCAUUUGUGGUUUAUUUUUGUUAACUGACAAAAGGAUUCUAAAACAUACCUGAAAAGUAUAAUUCACACCUAGGAUAAUGGAUCAUUCUGUCACAUUGUUCCUUUUUCACAGCUGAUAUGAACAUGAUAUUUUCAUGACUUUGUAAAAUAAAAAUGG
rnacentral:lncRNA from 1 species